GACGAAGGGGGCUAGCGUUGUUCGGAAUUACUGGGCGUAAAGCGCGUGUAGGCGGUUGUCCAAGUUGGAUGUGAAAGCCUUGAGCUUAACUCAAGAAAUGCAUUCAGGACUGGAUGACUAGAGGACCGGAGAGGAUAGUGGAAUUCCGCGUGUAGCAGUGAAAUGCGUAGAUAUGCGGAGGAACACCGAUGGCGAAGGCAAUCCCCUGGACCUGUACUGACGCUCAUGCACGAAAGCGUGGGGAGCAAACAGG
rnacentral:rRNA from 1 species